rnacentral:lncRNA from 1 species
UUGACCCGAUGGACUUUGAUGCUCCGAUUAAACCCUCACCGCGUUGCAGCGGAGUCGAUAAUACAGGCCGAGAACAUAAUUUAAGCCUAAAACGUUAAAAAUCAUAUAUACAUGUGUGUUUAUAUAAUACUUGGAAUGCCCGCACGUUGCGGCGAGAAACAUAUCACUUAGGUUGGUGAGUUUAGGGCUAUGUACAGGGAUGUAGUUUCUGAUGUGGCGUGCGGCGACGAUGGUGGCAGUGCCGUGCCGUGAGAAUAUUAAUCACCAGAAUGGUUUUAGAUUUGCAGCUAUGUACAGCCAAUUUUUGUUGAAGGUAAUAAUAUAACAUAUAAUUUUCCAUGCUGAAGUAAGAUGGGUUGCACAAGAGAAAAAAAACAUAAGAAUGAUAUCAUAUUGGCAUCUUUAUUGCCCCAAGUUAUACAACCACCGUACGACCACUUCAUGCAUCCAAUCCGCCUGUAACACCAAUUCCAUCAAUAAAUAAAUUUAUUUUAUUCAAACAUAGUAUAAAAAAUCCAUAAAAAUAAUUUAGUUUUGAACUUCCUGCCGGAUCUUAUUGAAGAGAAGCAACUCGAUGGAGGGAAGCUUAAAUAGUGCAGGAUUCCACAUUAGAACACCUUAUUGCUCAUAGCAAUAAGCAAUAAUCGGCAAGUGCCAAUAACUAUAGUGCUUAAAUACAUAAUAUUUGAAACUAUAAAACAUGACAGGUUGAUUGAAGCUCUGAAUGGGAUGUCUUAUAGUUUACAAAUCAUAAUUCUUUAAUAAAUCGUUAGAUCAGCCAGUGCUAGUGUGCUACUCAUUGUCCUUAUUUCAACCAAAAGAGUGAUCAGUGGUGCGACUCGCCUCAAUUUCAACUAAACGACAAUCAAGCAUUCCAUACAGGGGUGUUAAUUUCUGACACGACCUGAAAACACGACACAAACCUAACAUGAAAUUCGCGGGUUUAGGUUUAGUCUAAACGGGUUCGGGUCAGUUUCAGGUUCAACCAGCGAACCAGUUUAGGUUAACGGUUUGAGUCAACCUGAGCAGGUUGGCAGGUUGACCCGUUUAACACAUUUAUACUAUAUUAUAUUUUUUACAAUAUGUUUUAUGUCAUAAAUUAAAUGGGAAAAAAAAAAUUCAGGUUGAACGGAUCGUGUUCAGGUACAUAUGAAUGAUACGAUUUUCGGGUUUGGGUCGGAUUCAAGUUCGUGUAUAAUUUUCGGGUUCGGAUCGAGUUGAACCCGCGAACCUGACCCGUUUAUCACCCCUAUUUCCAUAAAAUAGACUGUAAUCAAAAUGUUUUAAUUACUGAUAUCAGCUAUCAACGAUCUAAUCAUAAA